UUAUAGUUACAAGAAUACAACCGUCACCGUCAGACGGCAACACCGUGGCACAUCCUCUCUUUCAUCGGUGGACCGUCGGUGGUGGGUGGCUCUCACCCGCAGAACUCGAAAUUUCCACAUUUGCAUGCAUUGCAUGUAGUUGCUAACCAACUAUUCAAGUUUAUAAUCAAUUUUUCAGCGACUCAAAACAACGGAAUUCCGCGGAAUACUACAUGAACGACGAAAAUUUGAUUCGCGACAAAACAGCUUAUCAAAGCUAGAGAAAAUUUUCACUUCACUGUAUUUAUAUUUGUUGGAGUAAACAUUCCUUAACAACCCCAUAGAAACGGUAGCGUGACAACAGUGUACACAAACCCGCCAGCUAGCCAACUCGUCAGCUGUCACUUCCACCUUCCCCGCAGCUAACCACACCGCGCACCCACUGACUGCUUAGAUCAGUAAACCUGUCACUAUAGAAACCUUGGCGUAACCCAAAAUAUGCUUGAAAUGUUUAAAACGUGGAAAGGAGCAUUCCAGGGGACAUAAACAUGAAAUGCGUUACUAAUGAAGCACGAUGAAAAUGGCAAAGAAAGAAGGCAAAAUCCAACUUACAUG